rnacentral:rRNA from 1 species
ACGAACGCUGGCGGCAUGCCUAACCCCUGCAAGUCGAACGAGACCUUCGGGUCUAGUGGCGCACGGGUGCGUAACGCGUGGGAACCUGCCCUUAGGUUCGGAAUAACUCCCCGAAAGGGGUGCUAAUACCGGAUAAUGUCUUCGGAUCAAAGAUUUAUCGCCUUUGGAUGGGCCCGCGUUGGAUUAGCUAGUUGGUAGGGUAAAAGCCUACCAAGGCGACGAUCCAUAGCUGGUCUGAGAGGAUGAUCAGCCACACUGGGACUGAGACACGGCCCAGACUCCUACGGGAGGCAGCAGUGGGGAAUAUUGGACAAUGGGCGAAAGCCUGAUCCAGCAAUGCCGCGUGAGUGAUGAAGGCCUUAGGGUUGUAAAGCUCUUUUACCCGGGAUGAUAAUGACAGUACCGGGAGAAUAAGCUCCGGCUAACUCCGUG